rnacentral:rRNA from 1 species
GAUGAACGCUAGCGGCAGGCUUAACACAUGCAAGUCGAGGGGUAUUGGUUUUCGGACCAAGAGACCGGCGCACGGGUGCGUAACGCGUAUGCAAUCUACCUUUUGCAGAGGGAUAGCCCAGAGAAAUUUGGAUUAAUACCUCAUAGUAUAGUACCUUGGCAUCAAGGAACUAUUAAAGUCACAACGGCAAAAAGAUGAGCAUGCGUCCCAUUAGCUAGUUGGUAAGGUAACGGCUUACCAAGGCGACGAUGGGUAGGGGUCCUGAGAGGGAGAUCCCCCANACUGGUACUGAGACACGGACCAGACUCCUACGGGAGGCAGCAGUGAGGAAUAUUGGACAAUGGGCNCAAGCCUGAUCCAGCCAUGCCGCGUGCAGGAUGACGGUCCUAUGGAUUGAAACUGCUUUUAUACAGGAAGAAACACUGGUUCGUGAACCAGCUUGACGGUACUGU